rnacentral:rRNA from 1 species
UACGUAGGGUGCAAGCGUUGCCCGGAUUUAUUGGGCGUAAAGGGCGCGCAGGCGGUCGUUCAAGUCGCGUGUGAAAGCCCCCGGCUCAACUGGGGAGGGUCACGCGAUACUGAUCGACUCGAAGGCAGGAGAGGGAAGUGGAAUUCCCGGUGUAGUGGUGAAAUGCGUAGAUAUCGGGAGGAACACCAGUGGCGAAGGCGGCACUCUGGGCCGGAACUGACGCUGAGGAGCGAAAGCGUGGGGAGCAAACAGG